AAAAAGAGUGUGCAGAUUUUGAUAAAUUUAGGUUCAGGGUGUCAGGGCCACCCGAUAGAUAUGGAUUGUAAGGGGGCCCGGUCAGCGCUGGGCGCUUCAACAGCGCGACCGGACCCCCUUUGAUUACAUCACAUGCUGGGAGGAAGUGAUGGCAUGUCACUCCUCCCAGCUAUUACUGAGAGCCCGCGUGGGAGGAAGACCAGGGAGUCAGAGUGGGAACUCUGACUCCCAUCCACCUGAGCCACCACUGGACCCCAGUCACCCUCCUGCACCUAAAAGGUAGGAAACAGGAGGGUGACUUAAAUAUUGUGUGUGUGUGUUUGUAUGUGUGCCUGUCUGUGUAUGAAUGUGUGUGUAUGUCUGCCUGUAUGUGUGUGCUUGUCUGUAUGUAUGUGUGUGUCGGUCUGUAUUUAUGUGUGUGACUGUCUAUGUAUAUGUGUGUGUCUGU